rnacentral:rRNA from 1 species
GGGCGUAGCAAUACGUCAGCGGCGGACGGGUGCGUAACACGUGGGAACGUACCCUUUGGUUCGGAACAACGCAGGGAAACUUGCGCUAAUACCGGAUGUGCCCGAAAGGGGAAAGAUUUAUCGCCAAAGGAUCGGCCCGCGUUCGAUUAGCUUGUUGGCGGGGUAAUGGCCCACCAAGGCGACGAUCGAUAGCUGGUCUGAGAGGACGAUCAGCCACACUGGGACUGAGACACGGCCCAGACUCCUACGGGAGGCAGCAGUUGGGAAUCUUGGACAAUGGAGGAAACUCUGAUCCAGCCAUGCCGCGUGAGUGAUGAAGGCCUUCGGGUUGUAAAACUCUUUCGACGGGGACGAUAAUGACGGUACCCGUAGAAGAAGCUCCGGCUAACUUCGUGCCAGCAGCCGCGGUAAUACGAAGGGGGCUAGCGUUGUUCGGAAUUACUGGGCGUAAAGCGCGCGCAGGCGGCCAGCCAAGUCAGGGGUGAAAGCCCGGAGCUCAACUCCGGAAAUGCCUCUGAAACUGUCUGGCUUGAGUACGGAAGAGGUGAGUGGAAUUCCCAGUGUAGAGGUGAAAUUCGUAGAUAUUGGGAAGAACACCGGUGGCGAAGGCGGCUCACUGGUCCGUUACUGACGCUCAGGCGCGACAGCGUGGGGAUCAAACAGGAUUAGAUACCCUGGUAGUCCACGCCGUAAACGAUGAACGCUAGCCGUUGGCGAGCUUGCUCGUCAGUGGCGCAGCUAACGCAUUAAGCGUUCCGCCUGGGGAGUACGGCCGCAAGGUUG